AAAACAGAACAACGAUCAAUAGUUUUUUAGUCUCAUUCCCAUUUGAAAUAUUAUGCUUGAAUGAAAACAAACAAAGGCUUUCCUGCUUACUGGUUUCAAUCAUUUAAGAAAGUUCUCGACAUCAAUCGUUAAAAAUAAGCUGUCGAAACAGCCAUAAACUUGUUAUGGAAUUGAUUAUCAUUAAGCUGGAGUGGUCGAAAAGCCGUGCGGGGCCCUCAGAAAGAAUGCAGAUUCGUAAACGAGUUAGCGCUGCAAAUGAACCUGCAAUCCCAGAUUCAAGGCACCAGUCACCGACGAGCUGUUUUACUUUACGAGACUUGCCUAGCUGAAAUGCGGAAACGUUUUCCCCAAAAUAAUCGUUAAGGUGGACUCUUCUGUGACUGAUGUUUGCUGGUGGACUCGAUACGAUUACUGCACCCAUCUUUGAAUCCUAACGGGACAAAACUUGAUCCUAAAGAACGCCAAAGAAUAUGCAUCACAUCUACAAAUGAACUUUUUCAUUUUUUACAAAGAAAAAAAAAA